GUUGAUCAUGGGGUUUUAAUCACAGCAAUAGUGACCCUAACUAGGACAGAAAUUGGUAGCAAGAUAGUAAGGUAUUGCUGUGACAGACCUGACCAUGUUGUUUUGGGAACAAUUGUGGAAGGUCUUUGGAACUUUGGAGUAGAAAAGCAGUUGAGUAUUCAAAAGCUUGGCAUGAAGAAGUCAUGAAGAUCACUUGAAGUUUGGCACUUAAGAGGACAAAAAAGACCACUGGUGAAGCUACAGCCUCAAUAUUAGUUGAAAGCCCAGGAUUGAAGGAGUCAUACAGAGAAGGACUAGACGAUAAGACCCCAUGGCUGAAGACAUCACACAUCUCGGUUGCAGAACAUAAAGAAAUCAAUCUGGAAUUGAGCUGGCCAUGUCCUCCCUGCUGAGAGGGUUUCACAGUACUACAAGGUCAUAGAAUCAGGUGGAUUAAAACAACAGAAAUAUACUGUUUUACAGUUCCUGAGACUGGAAGUUCAAACUCAAGGAGACCCAUUUGUCUGUCUGUCUGUCUAGAAGGAUGGAUAAAUGAAUCAAACUCCAUUGCAAACAAAAUUUGACAACUAGGCCAUUUCAAAGGCUUAUUUCCUGCACUUAACUAUGGGCUCCCCACUCAACUGUUUAUCUGUUGGAACUUACUGUCACCAUCAAGACCUGGACCUCUCAACUUCAACUGAUCAUCUUCAAAUGUUGCAAGAUGCCCAGUAAACCUCUACCCUGGUACCAACAAGCAAAACAGAGAAUGAAAACACCCACUUUCCAGAAGCAAACAGAAUCAAAAAUAUCUCCAUUCCUAAAAAUGUAAAAGCUCCAGAAAUGAGUUUCUAUUCUCCUUAGAUACCUAGGUGCCUGCCCAGGUGUAGCUCUUUCUUCGAUAUGUCUGGUCCCCAGGCAACACAAAAAUCUGCCAGUUUUUCACAGAAACCUUCCAUGGUUGUUCUGUAACCUCAACUACUCUAGAUCCAUUGAUUCUAAUAAGUCUCCUUUUUCCAUAAUAUCUGUGAAUCGAGCCUCAGCUGGACAUGUUAACUCAAUGGGCUUGGCAUUCCUAGCUGUGUUGAAUGAAAUCAGAAGUGUAGCGUUUUGGUGACUUAAGAUGACAAACAUUCCAUGCCUGUCAAACCAGGAGACCCAGGAGCUG
rnacentral:lncRNA from 1 species